rnacentral:lncRNA from 1 species
AUCUUAAUUUCUUUCAGUUUAGAGGUUUUGAACUAUCGCUUUUCGUCGGAAAUUUUUCUGGCAACUCCCGCGCUUUUCGUUCCAUUAUUUCCGCUGCCUGUGUGGGUGUGUGUGGGUGUGUUUUGUUUUCUUGGACAGGUGCCUAUUCAGCCGGCGAGGAUUUUAAGACAAGCCACAGCAGCCUCGGAGACUACCGUUCAGACUAGCAGCAGGACGCAAUAGAACCACACGUUCUGAUAAGCUUCAGGAGAAAUUGGGCGCAUC